rnacentral:rRNA from 1 species
UACGGAGGGUGCAAGCGUUAUCCGGAUUCACUGGGUUUAAAGGGUGCGUAGGUGGGCUGGUAAGUCAGUGGUGAAAUCUCCGGGCUUAACCCGGAAACUGCCAUUGAUACUAUCUGUCUUGAAUACCGUGGAGGUGAGCGGAAUAUGUCAUGUAGCGGUGAAAUGCUUAGAUAUGACAUAGAACACCAAUUGCGAAGGCAGCUCACUACGCGAAUAUUGACACUGAGGCACGAAAGCGUGGGGAUCAAACAGG